rnacentral:rRNA from 1 species
UACGAAGGGGGCUAGCGUUGUUCGGAAUUACUGGGCGUAAAGCGCGCGCAGGCGGUCUUCCAAGUCAGUGGUGAAAGCCCGGAGCUCAACUCCGGAACUGCCAUUGAAACUGUUAGACUUGAGGACGAGAGAGGUGAGUGGAAUUCCCAGUGUAGAGGUGAAAUGCGCAGAUAUCGGGAGGAACACCUAUGGCGAAGGCAGCUCGCUGGGACGUUACUGACGCUGAGACGCGAAAGCGUGGGGAGCAAACAGG